AGUCCUUUGGCACAGUGGUUAAAGUGCUUGGCUGCUAACCAGGAGGUCAGUGGUUCAAACCCACCAGCUACUC
rnacentral:tRNA from 1 species